GCGCUCACCACUUUGUGGUUCAUGACUGGGGUGAAGUCGUAACAAGGUAGCCCUAGGGGAACCUGGGGCUGGAUCACCUCCUUA
rnacentral:rRNA from 1 species